rnacentral:rRNA from 1 species
GACGAACGCUGGCGGCGUGCCUAAUACAUGCAAGUCGAACGCAGUGGGGACGGGUGAGUAACACGUGGGUAACCUCCCCAUCAGAGGGGAUAACACUUGGAAACAGGUGCUAAACCGAUACUGAUGGAUGGACCCGCGGUGCAUUAGCUAGUUGGUGAGGUAACGGCUCACCAAGGCCACGAUGCAUACCCGACCGUGGGAGGUGAGCGGCCACACCUGGACUGAGAAACGGCCCAGACUCCCACGGGGGGCAGCAGUAGGGAAUUUGUGGAAAUGGACGGAAGUCUGACCGAGGAACGCCGCGUGAGUGAAGAAGGUUUUCGGAUCGUAAAGCUCUGUUGUUAGAGAAGCGGUAACUAACCAGAAAGGGACGGCUAACUACGUGCCAGCAGCCGCGGUAAUUC